rnacentral:rRNA from 1 species
GACGAACGCUGGCGGCAUGCCUAAUACAUGCAAGUCGAGCGAACAGAUGAAGUGCUUGCACUUCUGACGUUAGCGGCGAACGGGUGAGUAACACGUAAGGAAUCUACCUAUAAGCGGGGGAUAACAUUCGGAAACGGGUGCUAAUACCGCAUAAUAUCUUCUUCCGCAUGGAAGAAGAUUGAAAGACGGCUCUGCUGUCACUUAUAGAUGACCUUGCGGUGCAUUAGUUAGUUGGUGGGGUAACGGCCUACCAAGACGAUGAUGCAUAGCCGACCAGAGAGGGUGAUCGGCCACAUUGGGACGGAGACACGGCCCAAACUCCUACGGGAGGCAGCAGUAGGGAAUCUUCCGCAAGGGGCGAAAGCCUGACGGAGCAAUGCCGCGUGAGUGAAGAAGGCCUUCGGGUCGUAAAACUCUGUUAUAAGAGAAGAACAAAUUGUAGAGUAACUGCUACAGUCUUGACGGUAUCUUAUCAGAAAGCCACGGCUAACUACGUGCCAGCCGCCGCCGUAA